rnacentral:lncRNA from 1 species
UAAGAUUUUUUUUUCAGGGCAACAAAAUCCGUUGAUAUUCAAUUGAGAUUUGUUCAUACUUUUAAAAUGUCCAUUGGUAUUCAAAAGUCUACCAAUUUUGAUGGAUUCUUGUUUGGAAUGGAUUUUGAUAGACUUUUUAGUUGAAAAUACACNNNNNNNNNNNNNNNNNNNNNNNNNNNNCAUCACUGCACCCAAUUUUUUCUUCUUUUCUUUGUUCACCUUUUCAACAAUCUCCCCAAAAGCCUUGAGAAUUUUUCAAACUCUUCAAGACUUUUUACUUUCAUCAUCAUUAUACCGAUUUUCUUCUUCUUCUUCUUCUUUACCUAUCAAAUAUGUUUUUUUGCAAAAAAAUAUUUUAACAAAUUCUCCAUCUUUUUUACAAAGUUUUUAUUAAUUACAACGGCAAACAAUUUUUUUUCGUCACCCAUUCAUCUGCUUCUAUUUUCCGUCAAUGGUGGUGGUGGUGAUAACCUUUUUAUUGGUGAUUAAAAACAUAUACGUAAAAAUGUACCAAAAAAAAAAGAAACAUAUACGUAAAAAGAAAUGUAAGGUUUUUUUUUAAAUCUUUGGAUUCCCAAAAAAAUAUAAUUUCUUUUAUUAAAAUUUAUUGUUUCU